UACGUAGGGGGCAAGCGUUGUCCGGAAUCAUUGGGCGUAAAGCGCGUGUAGGCGGCUCGAUAAGUCUGCUGUGAAAGUCCAGGGCUCAACCCUGGGGAUGCCGGUGGAUACUGUCGAGCUCGAGUCCGGAAGAGGCGAGUGGAAUUCCUGGUGUAGCGGUGAAAUGCGCAGAUAUCAGGAGGAACACCAAUGGCGAAGGCAGCUCGCUGGGACGGUACUGACGCUGAGACGCGAAAAGCGUGGGGAGCAAACAGG
rnacentral:rRNA from 1 species